rnacentral:rRNA from 1 species
UACAGAGGGGGCAAGCGUUGUUCGGAAUUACUGGGCGUAAAGGGCGCGUAGGCGGCCUGCUAAGUCGAACUUGAAAUCCCCGAGCUCAACUCGGGAACUGCGUCCGAUACUGGCAGGCUUGAAUCCGGGAGAGGGAUGCGGAAUUCCAGGUGUAGCGGUGAAAUGCGUAGAUAUCUGGAGGAACACCAAUUGCGAAGGCAGCUCGCUGGGACGUUACUGACGCUGAGACGCGAAAGCGUGGGGAGCAAACAGG